rnacentral:rRNA from 1 species
GACGAACGCUGGCGGCGUGCUUAACACAUGCAAGUCGAACGCUGAAACCAAAUGCUUGCAUUUGGUGGAUGAGUGGCGAACGGGUGAGUAACACGUGGGUGAUCUGCCCUACACUUUGGGAUAAGCCUGGGAAACUGGGUCUAAUACCGAAUAUUCACACCACCGUAGGGGUGGUGUGGAAAGCUUUAUGCGGUGUGGGAUGAGCCUGCGGCCUAUCAGCUUGUUGGUGGGGUAAUGGCCUACCAAGGCGUCGACGGGUAGCCGGCCUGAGAGGGUGUACGGCCACAUUGGGACUGAGACACGGCCCAGACUCCUACGGGAGGCAGCGGUGGGGAAUAUUGCACAAUGGGCGCAAGCCUGAUGCAGCGACGCCGCGUGGGGGAUGACGGCCUUCGGGUUGUAAACUCCUUUCGCUAGGGACGAAGCCUAUGGUGACGGUACCUGGAGAAGAAGCACCGGCUAACUACGUGCCAGCAGCCGCCGUAA